GACUUCGGGGUAGAGUGAAAUUCUCAACUGGCGGUAUAGCCCGCGAACCGUAAGGCCGAUUAGGUGAAAUUCCUAAGCCAACAGUACAGUCUGGAUGAAAGAAGU
rnacentral:ncRNA from 1 species